UUUAUGGAGAGUUUGAUCCUGGCUCAGGAUGAACGCUGGCGGCGUGCCUAAUACAUGCAAGUCGAGCGAACUGACGAGGAGCUUGCUCCUUUGACGUUAGCGGCGGACGGGUGAGUAACACGUGGGUAACCUACCUAUAAGACUGGAAUAACUCCGGGAAACCGGGGCUAAUGCCGGAUAACAUAUCGAACCGCAUGGUUCGAUAGUGAAAGACGGUCUUGCUGUCACUUAUAGAUGGACCCGCGCCGUAUUAGCUAGUUGGUGAGGUAACGGCUCACCAAGGCAACGAUA
rnacentral:ncRNA from 1 species